rnacentral:rRNA from 2 species
AGCGCCGGUAAGGUGAUAUGAACCGUUAUAACCGGCGAUACCCGAAUGGGGAAACCCAGUGUGACUCGUCACACUAUCAUUAACUGAAUCCAUAGGUUAAUGAGGCGAACCGGGGGAACUGAAACAUCUAAGUACCCCGAGGAAAAGAAAUCAACCGAGAUUCCCCCAGUAGCGGCGAGCGAACGGGGAGGAGCCCAGAGCCUGAAUCAGCAUGUGUGUUAGUGGAAGCGUCUGGAAAGGCGCGCGAUACAGGGUGACAGCCCCGUACACAAAAGCGCAUGUGCUGUGAGCUCGAUGAGUAGGGCGGGACACGUGGUAUCCUGUCUGAAUAUGGGGGGACCAUCCUCCAAGGCUAAAUACUCCUGACUGACCGAUAGUGAACCAGUACCGUGAGGGAAAGGCGAAAAGAACCCCGGCGAGGGGAGUGAAAAAGAACCUGAAACCGU